AGAGAGAGAGAGAGAGAGAGGUUAUCUCUGCUGUGUAUGCAAAUAACAUAUUUGUUUCUUUCAUAAGCCAAUAAGCAAUUACUUUUAGAACUCUACAUAUGGAAUGCAUGAGAGAUGAGACUUCAGGUGAGCAACUUUGUUUGGUAAACUUUUUAGGAAUAAGCAAUUCUUGAACGAUAAUAUCUGCAAUAAGGUUGGUGGACAAUCUGUGUGGGUUGUGUCCCUAAUGACGUCCCUUAUUUUAGAGGCUCACAUGUGAAUCAUUAUUUAUCAAUCAAUUUUUUUUUCCUUAAUUGUUGAUAAAAGAAUUGAAAGAGGGGUAGAUAGAGCUUGGCUAGUCAAUGGGCCGGGUAUGCCUUGUAAGACUUUUCGUUAGAUUUAAAUGUUUUUCACAAGAUCAAUUCGUUUUAGAUAUUAUAGGAAGUAAGACCCCGUGGCUUGUCACUGCUUACCAUGUGAUUUUGAUAACUUUAUUCUUUUGUUUGGGAAAUUUUGCUCUUUUCCUUCCUCAGGUUUUUUGUUACUUGGGUGAUCUAAAUGAUUCCUUAUCAUACGCCCUCGGAGCUGAUUCUCUUUUCGAUGUCUCAGAGGAUUCUGAUUACGUUCAUACCCUUCUUGCUAAGGCAAUAGAUGAGUAUGCUAGUCUAAAGUCAAAGGCAAUUGAAUCAAAUGCUGAGGAAGCAAAUGUGGACCCUAGGCUGGAGGCAAUUGUGGAGAGAAUGCUGGACAAGUGUAUUAUGGAUGGAAAAUACCAACAAGCCAUGGGAAUUGCAAUUGAAUGUAGAAGACUGGACAAACUUGAGGAAGCAAUAACAAGGAGUGAUAACAUUCAUGGAACUCUUUCAUAUUGCAUCAAUGUUUCACAUGCUUUUGUUAGUCGUAGAGAAUAUCGGUGCGAGGUGCUCCAUCUUCUUGUUAAUGUUUAUCAGAAGCUGCCUUCUCCUGAUUAUUUGAGCAUUUGUCAAUGUCUCAUGUUCUUGGAUGAACCUGAAGGUGUAGCAAGCAUACUGGAAAAGCUUUUGCGUUCUGGAAAUAAGGAUGACGCUUUGCUUGCAUUUCAAAUAGCCUUUGAUCUUGUGGAGAAUGAGCACCAAGCUUUUCUAUUAAAUGUUAGAGAUCGCCUUUCAGUUCCAAAGUCUCAAUCUUCAGAGUCAGUGCAGCCAAAACCUAGUGAUCCAGAGCCGACACAAAAUGAAAAUUCUACUGCUUCAGAGGAUGUUCCAAUGACAGAAGGAUCUUCAGUUUCAACUGCUAUUGUGCAGGAAACUGAUCCAAAUGAAGCAAUAUAUGCUGAGAGGCUGACAAAAAUCAGGGGAAUUUUGUCUGGGGAGACAUCAAUUCAGUUGACUCUACAAUUUCUAUACAGUCAUAACAAAUCAGAUCUUCUUAUUCUGAAGACAAUCAAGCAGUCUGUUGAGAUGAGGAAUAGUGUUUGUCACAGUGCAACUAUCUAUGCUAAUGCAAUUAUGCAUGCUGGUACAACUGUGGAUACAUUCCUCAGGGAGAAUUUGGAUUGGUUGAGCAGGGCCACAAAUUGGGCCAAAUUUAGUGCCACGGCAGGUCUUGGUGUUAUCCACAGAGGUCACCUGCAGCAGGGCAGGUCGCUAAUGAGACCUUAUUUGCCCCAGGGCGGAUCUGGUGGUGGAGGUAGUCCAUACUCAGAAGGUGGUGCUCUUUAUGCUUUGGGUCUUAUACAUGCGAACCAUGGCGAGGGCAUCAAACAAUUCCUUCGUGACAGCCUACGUAGCACAAAUGUAGAGGUCAUUCAACAUGGUGCAUGCUUAGGUCUGGGUUUGGCAGCUUUAGGAACUGCUGAUGAAGAUAUAUAUGAUGAUAUCAAAAGCGCUUUGUAUACUGAUAGUGCUGUUGCUGGUGAGGCUGCUGGUAUUAGUAUGGGUUUGCUUAUGGUUGGAUCUGCAAGUGAGAAAGCAAGUGAGAUGCUUACUUAUGCUCAUGAGACACAGCAUGAGAAGAUCAUUAGAGGAUUGGCAUUAGGGAUAGCCCUCACUGUUUAUGGAAGAGAAGAAGAAGCAGACACGCUAAUUGAACAAAUGACUCGUGAUCAGGAUCCAAUACUUCGUUAUGGAGGUAUGUAUGCAUUGGCAUUGGCCUACAGGGGAACAGCAAACAACAAGGCCAUCCGCCAACUGUUGCACUUUGCCGUAUCAGAUGUGAGUGAUGAUGUAAGGAGGACUGCAGUUCUUGCACUUGGAUUUGUCCUGUACUCUGAACCAGAGCAGACUCCUCGAAUUGUCUCCUUGCUGUCGGAGUCGUACAACCCACAUGUGCGAUAUGGUGCAGCUCUUGCGGUAGGCAUUUCCUGUGCAGGCACUGGCUUGAGUGAGGCUAUAUCAUUGCUGGAACCUUUGACAUCAGAUGUUGUUGAUUUUGUUCGUCAAGGUGCUCUUAUUGCAAUGGCUAUGGUCAUGGUGCAGAUGAAUGAGGCCAGUGAUUCUCGUGUUGGAAUAUUCAGACGUCAAUUGGAAAAGAUAAUUCUUGAUAAGCAUGAAGACACCAUGAGCAAGAUGGGUGCAAUCCUUGCUUCUGGAAUACUUGAUGCUGGUGGAAGGAAUGUAACAAUAAGAUUGCUUUCUAAGACAAAACAUGAUAAAGUCACUGCAGUAGUUGGCCUAGCUGUUUUUAGCCAGUUUUGGUAUUGGUAUCCUCUCAUUUAUUUCAUAAGCUUGUCAUUCUCACCCACAGCCUUUAUUGGGCUGAACUAUGACUUGAAAGUUCCAAAAUUUGAGUUCAUAUCAAAUGCAAAGCCUUCUUUAUUUGAGUAUCCGAAGCCAACCACUGUGCCCACUACCACAUCUGCUGUGAAACUUCCCACUGCAGUUCUGUCAACUUCAGCGAAGGCCAAAGCUAGGGCCAAGAAAGAAGCAGAGCAGAAAGCUAAUGCUGAAAAGGCAGCAGCAGCAGCAGAGUCUUCAUCUGCUGCAGCAAAUACCGGAAAAGAUAAAUCAUCGAAUGAGAAGGAUGGGGAUUCCAUGCAGGUUAACAUUGCUUAUAUUUUUUUUAGACAGAGUUCAUGGAAGCAAUUUUAUAUUUUCCUAUUUAACUUUUAGAUUACUGUUUCAUUGUUACUUUUGGGGACUAUCAUGUUAGCAGGUUGUUAUUUUAUCUUGAUGCAUUCUGUGGCUCUCAAGAUCUAUAAUUCACAUUUUGAAAUUGACUGAAUGAUCAGAUAUGUUACGUUGCAUUGUUUCUUUUGUUAGGUUGAUAGCCAGCCGGAGAAGAAAGCAGAGCCUGAACCUUCUUUUGAAAUUUUGACCAACCCAGCAAGAGUUGUUCCUGCUCAGGAGAAGUUCAUUAAAUUUAUGGAAGAUAGCAGAUAUGCACCAGUGAAGUUAGCGCCUUCAGGGUUUGUCCUCCUGAGAGACCUGCAACCAACUGAACCAGAGGUACUUUCUCUCACGGAUGCACUGUCAUCCACAGUGUCACCUGCUGGUGGUUCAGCUGCGGGACAGCAAGGUUCUGCAUCAGCCAUGGCUGUUGAUGAGGAGCCCCAGCCACCUCAGCCUUUUGAGUAUACUUCGUGAUUCUGGUCAUAAAGAUUUUUGUAUUGGUCUUCGUUUAGAAAUCUGGUGCUUAUAACUGGCAGAGAAAAUCAAAUGCUUCUCAGCGACCGCUUCAAUCUUGCAUGGUCACUGCCAGCAUAAGCAAGUUUACUGGUUUCAAGGUUUUCUUAUCUGCAGAGCUUAUGUUCUCGAGCAAAUUUUUUUAGGUACCUAAGUGAUACAUGAUUGCUGUUUCAUCGACACAUAGUAGCACUUUCCGUAAUGUUCUGGAAAUGAAAAUUUCAGUCCAUUUUGUAGUCAUUUUGCAUUUCAAUUUACUUGCUGUGUUCUUUUGAUUGUUUCAUUGAUGUGCUGAUUUUUUUCCUCAGUUGUUUUCCCUUGCUAUCAAGUUUCCACUUCGAUGCUGUUCUUCGGGUUGUCUUACUUUUACCCGAUUUUAUUUUGUUGCGUUUCAUUUGGUUUAUUAUGUUUAUAAGCAAAAGAUAUUUUCUAGAGCCUUCACAUGUGUUCCUUUAACACAUAGUUAUCAAAGGCGCCUAGGCUCAAGG
rnacentral:misc_RNA from 1 species